UGCGCGAGCCGUGACUGGCGCUUGGGUGGAGUACCACCGGGAAGCGGCUCGGCCACUUCGGCCAAUGCCGUGCGCCUGGGCGAUCCCG
rnacentral:ncRNA from 2 species